ensembl:lncRNA
GUAAAUGCAAAGUAAGUGUGUAAAAACAUUUAUCUUUUGAAGAAAUGACCAGAAGUUAUGAAAAUGCCCCAGCAUCAGCCAGCCAGCCAGCCAGUCAGCCAGUCAGUCAGCUAGCUAGCGGAGCACCCUUCCAUCUGCAGUAGUCAGCAGCCUAAUGCAAAAUGCCCCAGCAUCAGUCAGCCAGCCAGCCAGUCAGCCAGCCAGUCAGCCAGCUAGCUAGCGGAGCACCCUUCCAUCUGCAGUAGUCAGCAGUCUAAUGCAAAAUGCCCCAGCCAGCCAGUCAGUCAGUCAGCCAGCCAGUCAGUCAGUCAGUCAGCCAGCAGAGCACCCUUCCAUCCAGCAGUCUAAUGGAUCUACACUGUUCUGUCGUGAACCCAUUUCAGAUGUUCUGUUGUGAACCCAUUUCAGAUGUUCUGUUGUGAACCCAUUUCAGAUGUUCUGUUGUGAACCCAUUUCAGAUGUUCUGUUGUGAACCCAUUUCAGAUGUUCUGUUGUGAACCCAUUUCAGAUGUUCUGUUGUGAACCCAUUUCAGAUGUUCUGUUCGUUGCAGAAGACAAUAGUACAUUUAAAAUGACUUGUCAAAAUGUUAGUGUGUUCUUUCUUUCUGUGUCAACCUCAGGAGUCGCUUGGUUUAAGCAUUCUAUAGUAAUAUAGCUGCAUGGUCAGCGGGCUAGCGGCUCAGUGAGGGAGUCGCUUGGUUUAACGAUUCUAUAGUAAUAUAGCUGCAUGGUCAGCGGGCUAGCGGCUCAGGGAGGGAGUCGCUUGGUUUAACGAUUCUAUAGUAAUAUAGCUGCAUGGUCAGCGGGCUAGCGGCUCAGUGAGGGAGUCGCUUGGUUUAAGCAUUCUAUAGUAAUAUAGCUGCACGGUCAGCGGGCUAGCGGCUCAGUGAGGGAGUCGCUUGGUUUAAGGGAGUCGCUUGGUUUAAGGGAGUCGCUUGGUUUAACCAUUCUAUAGCAAUAUAGCUGCACGGUCAGCGGGCUAGCGGCUCAGUGAGGGAGUCGCUUGGUUUAACCAUUCUAUAGCAAAAUAAAAAAUAUGUAAAAAUGUGUUUUAAGUCAAAAAUGUAAAUGGUUCUUUAACAAUAAAACUGGGAUAAAUAGUUUAUACAUGCUUAUUUCUCUGAUACUAUACAAAUCACAAUGAUUGUGAAUAUAUUAAUGUUAUGAAAAACUGAAUAAAAGUGAAGACCAAUUGUCC